CUCUACCUGAAUGCACUUGUGAACUUCAGAAUUUUGAAGCUCUGUCUCCUGACAUCACAGAUAGACAAGCACUGAACUUGGCAGGAAAAUCAGUAGGAGUAAGUGGCGGAGGCAUGGGACUGGCAGAGAUACGGCAGCCCCUGUGGAGAGGCUGUCUACAGAUAACAUAACAAUAACAACAGGAUCUGCGGGGUUCCUGCAUGCGUGUUGGCUUCACUGGAGAAACUAAUCAAGUGGUCUGAGUCAUUCAAGUUAUAGUCUAUUUGAAGACGAGUUGAAUCUGAAACAAUGAGUAAGAUGAUGAGAGCUCGAUACUUAUGGUUUAAAUAUAAAAGGGGUAUCCCAACUCAGAAAGAGAGAGGAGAUCUGGAAAAAUCCUGCUUUCUGAAGCUUUUGACGGUAUUUUCAUACUGCCUGACUAAAGUGCAACAGCUACAUAUUGACAGGCGGUGGAAGGUGCAGUUUGGACACAGAGACUGACACACAGGAAGAAUACCAUGUGAAGACUGGAGUUUUGCAUAGAGAAGCCAAGGAGCUACCAGAAGCUAGGAGAAUGGCCUGGAACAGACCUUUCCUUAGUGCCUUCAGAGAGAGCAUGGCGCUGCCAACAUCUUGAUCUCAGACUUCCAGCAUCCUGAAUUGUGAGAUAAAUUUCUGCUGUUUAAACCAUAUAAUUUGUGAUACUUUGCUAUGGCAACUGUCACAGCUAUUAUAAGCACCUAACCCUUUUUUUAAUCUUUUAAGAAACUUUUUGCUUUCAUCUACUUUUUUUGUUCUGGUUAUUCCAUAUUUUACUUUAAGAUUUAGUCUUCUGUCAAUAAAGCAAUAAUUUCAGAUCAAUUUC
rnacentral:lncRNA from 10 species